GGCACAGUGGCUUAGUGGUUAACACAUGGUCCUUGCACCUCCAGGGUUGUGGGGUUCGAUUCUCACCUCUGCCC